CGGGUGACAGGGAGACAGGUGGUGCAUGGUUGUCGUCAGCUCGUGUCGUGAGAUGUUGGGUUAAGUCCCGCAACGAGCGCAACCCUGUGGUUAGUUGCCAGCAAGUAGCGUUGGGCACUCUAGAGGGACUGCCGGUGUCAAACCGGAGGAAGUGGGGAUGACGUCAAGUCCUCAUGGCCUUUAUGUCUAGGGCUACACACGUACUACAAUGGCCGGUACAAAGGGCAGCCACUCAGCGAUGAGGCGCUAAUCCCAUAAAGCCGGUCUCAGUCCGGAUCGCAGUCUGCAACUCGACUGCGUGAAGUUGGAGUCGCUAGUAAUCGUAGAUCAGCAUACUACGGUGAAUACGUUCCCGGGCCUU
rnacentral:rRNA from 1 species